UACGUAGGGCGCAAGCGUUAUCCGGAAUUAUUGGGCGUAAAGAGCUCGUAGGCGGUUUGUCGCGUCUGCCGUGAAAGUCCGGGGCUUAACCCCGGAUCUGCGGUGGGUACGGCAGACUAGAGUGAUGUAGGGGAGACUGGAAUUCCUGGUGUAGCGGUGAAAUGCGCAGAUAUCAGGAGGAACACCGAUGGCGAAGGCAGGUCUCUGGGCAUUAACUGACGCUGAGGAGCGAAAGCAUGGGGAGCGAACAGG
rnacentral:rRNA from 1 species